rnacentral:rRNA from 1 species
CACGGGGGUUGCGAGCGUUGUCCGGAAUUACUAGGCGUAAAGGGCAGGCAGGCGGAUCCAUAAGUUUAUCGUUUAAGGCGUCGGCUUAACCGGCGUAGGGCGGUAGGUACUGUGGAUCUGGAAUGCGGUUGGGGAAGACAGAAUUCCUGGUGUAGCGGUGGAAUGCGCAGAGAUCAGGAGGAAUACCGAAGGCGAAGGCAGUCUUCCAAGCCGUUAUUGACGCUCAACUGCGAAGGUGUGGGUAUCAAACAGGAUUAGAUAUCCGGGUAGUCCCUGAG